rnacentral:misc_RNA from 1 species
CAUGCUUGUGCAUCGAACUGUUGAAUGGCGAUCUCAUCAAUCCAAAACCCAGCUGCGCUAUUUUGCAUCAUGGGCUAAGGCUGAGUUCCUGUGUUGCAUACCCACGGAAGUGGAAAUUGAUCAUGUUGCGCUUUGAUUUUCGCCUCAUGCUUUGUUAAGGGCAUGUGGUGAACGUGUAAGCACCUUUUGUGUUCCAAAAUCGUUGAUUCAACUGUAAUGGUGCAUUAAAAGGUCGCUUGUGCUUUGGGAUGCGGAAAUUCUUUCGUAGCCGAGGGAUCGGAUCCCUCAAUUGCUUGAAAUGUCCCUAUUCGGAAACGACACACAGUGCUCGCUUUUGGUCCUUGGCAUGCCACAAUGUUGGUGCUCUGGGGAUUGAAGCGGUUGCUGAUGUCGUGAAGGAAUGC